AUGCCAUUGGUCGAAGGAGUCAAAGCUCACUGAGAUUCAGGAAGAUGGAAAACAGACUCAAUGGAAAAGUUUCAAAUUGUUUGUGAGUCGAUUUUAAAACUGGCACAUGACUUCAGGGUCAAUUCCCAUUAUCGUGGGGAGGGGCUUCAUAUUUAGAGUCAAUCACACCAGGAGUUGAACAGCGGGUCAGGCAUGUGCUUUUAUUUAGCAAGCAUCAUUGUGUGUUGAUGGUGAGUCUAUCACCGCGCCAGGUGCUGGGGGUUCCACAUUGAGGUAGACACAGUUUAUCCCCUUGAAUCAGGAAAGGAAAGUGGCUAAACACCCAAUGAUAAAUGUGCAGUUUGAGAAAUACGGUGGUGGUGAAUACACAGGGGACAAUGGAACCACAUGGAAAGAGAAGUUAAUUGAGUGAAUUUGGGAAAAUUAUUUAGCAUCUCUCUGUGAUUAGCGUCCCUAUUUGUAUAACAAGGCUGAUAAGACCUGUCUUAUAAGACUGGUUUAAGGAUGAGAUGAGACAAGUAAUCUAAAGCAGCUCCUGAUCAAUCACUUCUCAUCAUCCUGUUGAGGUCUGUGCAAGCAACUUCUCACUAUCUGAGCUUUUCCUAGUUUGUUUAUUUGUUUGUUUGUUUGUUUACUUGCUUAUUAUCUGAACUCACCAAACUAGAAUAUAAGAUAUAUAGAGUCUAUUAUUCAGGCUAUAGUAUAAAAAAUGAACUCGUCUCUGUCUAGAAAGCCCUUCCCUUCAGAUAUUUUGUGGCCAACUCUUUCACCCUUUACAAAAAAGCACUAAAUACGCUGCCUAGUCAUUCUUCUUAAAAUUGCAUCCUAGAACCCCCUCUAUAAUCGCUGGCUUCCCAUUCUGUUCUAUUUUUCUUUUUCAAACAGCACUUAAAACCUCUAACAUACUCUACAUAAGCUUUAGACUUAUUUGUUUAUCCUCUUGCCCUGCUAGAAUGUAAAUUGCAUUAGGGCAGGGAUCUUUGUUUUUUUCACUGAUGCAUCACAGGUGCCUGUAACCAUACCCUUUUCAUAAUGGAACAAAUGAAUCCACUGGGAAGGGGUAGGACAUUGAGUCAGAAGGGUGGCAGGAGUCCUUUGUAAGCCAGGAUAAACAGUUUGGAUUUUUUUUUUUCCAAAAUAAGAUAAACAGUGUAGACUUUUAUGAGAAGGUAUGACAUGAACUAAAUGACAUUUUUACGUCAUUCUGGCUGCUGUAGAGAGAAUGGAAUAGAAGAAGUCAAGAUUGGACAGGACAUGAGUUAGGAGAGAGGGUGAUGGCUUGGACCAAGGUGAUGGUCCUGGAGACAAAGAGAAAUUUGCAGCUUUCAGAUGUGUUUUUACAUGGAAGGAAGAACUGACCAGACAUGCUGAUGGGCUGAACAAGAGGGUGAGUGAGAAGGAAAUCGAGGCUAACUCAUAGGUUUUUGGUUUGAGUAACCUGGCAUGAUAUAAUGUCAUUUACUGAUAUGAGUCAAGACUAAGGAAGAAGCAGAAAGUCUGCGUGUGUGCGUGUGUGUUGGUGUAUGUGUACGUAGUGUGGUGUGUGUGUGUGCAGUGGUGUGUAUGUGUAUUGUGUGUGUUGUGUGUAUUGUGUUUUUUGUUUGUGUAGUUUGGUUGUGUGUUUUUGUGUGUGUAGUAUUAGAUGUGUGUGCAGUGAGGUGUGUGUGUAGUGUGUAUGUGUAUAGUGUGGGAUGUGUGUGUGUAGCAGUGUGUGUUCAUAGUGUGUGUGGUGUGUAUGUAGUGUGAGGUGUGUAUGCAGUGGUGUGUUGUGUGGUGUGUGUGUGUAGUGUGGGAGUGUGUUUCUAGUGAAGUGUGUGUGUAGUGUGGGGUUUGUGUGCAGUGCACGUGUUUUUGGUAUAGUAGUGUGUGUGGCCUGUGUGUAGUGUGGGAAGUGUAUGUGCAGUGUGUGUGGGGGUAUGGUAGUAUGUGUGUGGGGUAUGUGUGUGCAGUGGUGUGUAUGUGUAGUGUGUGUGUUGUGUGUAUUUUUUUGUGUGUAGUUUGGUUGCAUGUGUUUUGUGUGUGUGCAGUAUCAGAUGUGUGUGCAGUGAGGUGUGUGUGUAGUGUGGGAGUGUGUUUAUAGUGAACUGUGUGUGUACACUGUGUGUAGUGUGGGAUGUAUGUGUGCAGUGUGUGUGGAGGUAUGGUAGUAUGUGUGUGGGGUGUGUGUGUGCAGUGGUGUGUGUGAGUUGGGUGUGUGUGCCUGUAGUAUGGGGUGUGUGUGCAGUAGUGUGUGUAUGUGUAGUGUCGUGUGUCAAUGAGUGUAGUGUGCUGUGUAUGUAUGUGUGAUAUGGGCCACCAGGGGUGGGGCAGUUAAGAUUUUUUUUCUUGACUUUGUUCAUUGUGAGAUGAGUAUUAGACUGAUGAAGUAUUCUCCAUCUAGAAUCCAGCCUAAGGAGACAGUCAGAAGUGCUCACCAAGAUUCAGAGGUUCUUCAUUGCCUUACCAUAUUUGUAAGUCACAAACUGGAAGCUACCACAGGGUCCAGCCUUAUGAGAGUGGUGCAGUCAAUCCCAGAUCUUCCAUAUGACAGGGAGCUGGUCAUCCUUCAAAGUGCUGCUUACUAAGAUGACAAUGAGACUGGAAAAUUCUCAUUAAAUAAACAAAUGGCUGGGUAAGUGCUUACUGCAUGGUGUAUUCAUGUUAGUAGAGAAAUAUCUACAAAAUACGCUCGUGGUAAACUCUAUAAAUCAUGAAAAUGUAAAACUGCAAGAAAUCUCAAGGUCAUCGUUUCAAAAUGCAUGCUAUAGUUGAGCAAAAGAAAAAAUCAGUGAAGACUAAGAGGCUGAAGAGUUCCUCAUUUAAGCUGUGACAUUUGAUCCUAUUAGUGGGAAAAGACCUGAACUGAGAGGACCUGUGUCCUCGCCCCUGGUUUUGUUGCUGUUGCUUUGCUGGGUGACCUUGGAGACACCAUUGAACGUCUCUUGGCUCAGCUUUUUCACGGUUAAAUGAGACAGUUGGUAAUUCCUUGUUUUUCAGAGUUUGCAUGGUUUGGAUGCCAUUGGCUCUUCCUUAUAGCAGGGAGUUUUUCAGCUGCAAAGAGCGGUGGAGUUCCUCUCUCCCAGCCCACUCAUAAUUCGGCUUAUGUGCAGAAGGCAGAAGACCUUCCCAAGGGUACACAAUGCUUCUGUAAAUAGCAGUUUAUAGACUUCAGCAGAAGAACCAGAAGCAAACAGAGGAAGUGAAAAUGACCACUAGAAGAAAAACUGAUGACAGAAAAACAAAAUCAAUUAGACUUUAUCUUUAAAAAAAUCAACUAUGACUUUAAUUGAUUUCAAAUAAAAUAUUUCGAUCUUUAUGAGAUACAUUAGAUCGUUGAAAGUCAUGCUUACAGAAAAUAUUAGUGUCUGUGAAGAAAACACUAAGCUUCUGCAAAAGUUUUGCCUCUCACUUCUAGUCACGUCCCCACUGCUAGUCCAUUCUCUGAAAAGUGUACCCAAAGCAAUUUUCUUUUCUUUUUUC
rnacentral:lncRNA from 1 species